rnacentral:lncRNA from 1 species
UCGGCCUCAGGCAGGGACCAGAUACAAGCAGCAGUCUCUGGCGGGGCAGGCAGACAGACGCGUGAGGCGGCUGGCGCCGUACCUUUGGCGGCAGAGAAGUGGCUGGUGGCAGCAUGCUGGGCCUUUUGGCAUCUUGGUGUGGUUUUGUCCGGUUUGGUGGAUGCUUCUUUAAUGAAAUAGUGCCAUAGACUGAAAACGCAAACAUGAGGAUGGCAGGUAAGAUAUUUAUUUCAUUUGUAUUUGCAUUAAUUUGGAAAUAAAUCAUAUUGUUCAUUAAUGAAUAAAAGAUUA